rnacentral:rRNA from 1 species
GACGUAGGGGGCCAGCGUUGUUCGGAAUUACUGGGGUGUAAAGGGUUCGUAGGCGGUGUGGCAAGUCGGGAGUGAAAUCUCUGGGCUCAACUCAGAGACUGCUUCCGAAACUGCUGUGCUGGAGUGUGGGAGAGGCGCGUGGAAUUGCAGGUGUAGCGGUGAAAUGCGUAGAUAUCUGCAGGAACACCCGUGGCGAAAGCGGCGCGCUGGACCACUACUGACGCUGAGGAACGAAAGCUAGGGGAGCAAACAGG